UCCUAUUAUGCCGUUAAGUUUUGAAUGGAACCCCAGGAUACAAGAGCAGAAGGCAGAGGAAGGGUUGCUCGAAUGCAACGACGACCGCUACUCGUGGAAGUCGAAAGAAAAAUUAUGCAAUUGGAGAGCUUCAACUAUCAAGGACAAGUCUUUGAACAAGUCACCCUCUCCUUACAGUGCAGAAUUCUGAGCUAGCCAGUUGCCUCUGAAAGUCUCAUAUUUCUUCCACUUCAUAUCAUUUGUAGCAUGAUGUUCUCAAAUAAGAAGCCAUUGCACCUAAGGGCAUGCGCAAGUGGCCAAUGAAGUGGUUUAAGAACCUUGAGGUUUCAGUUUCAAAUCCCAGCCGAGGCAAAAAACACUAGGUGGUUUCUUCACAUCUAUUCAAGCCCUGUACCUGUGCUGGAGGGAGGUAGUAGGUACCCCGUGAAAGUAGUCGAGGCGCGCGCAAGCUGACUCAUACACCACGGUUAGCAAAAUUAAAAAAAAAAAAAGCUAUUGAUGUCGUUCUGUUUUCUCUAGUAGCUAUCUAGAAUUGCAAUAGAUAUCUCUAGGAGCGCGAUAAUGUUGGCUAGACUGCUUAGCCAGAUUAAAUUUUCCUGUAGCAGGUAGUUGGGCCCAACCCGUCGAUGCAUCUUCCCUCCCGAAAAAAAAAAAGAAUGGAUAAAAAGAAAACCAAGAGACUUAAUGAGUUUUUGCGGCGUUCUCGGUGAUAUCAAGUGUAAUUCUUCAACAAGUUGUUUAAUGCUUGUUUCUUGUUUCACUUCUCCUUUUCUCUUCUAUUCCCUGCACAUUUCAGGAAAAAGAUGCACAGUGCAUGUUUGGAUUGGCGUUAUAGAAUCUUGAUCGCUUAUACUGUGCUGUGGAAGGCCAUGCAAGGGAAACCGGUGAAUGGAUAAGGUUUCUCUGUCUUUCAUCCUUAUGAUUUUUAUUAGCCAUUAGACUUUUCGCCAAUCUAAUAUAAGUCGCCUGAAAUAUCUCUAUACGCCGUAUAAACAGUUUGAGGCAGGAUAUCAUUGACUUGGCAAUGCCAGACACUCAAACUGCACAUAGACUCAAGAUCACCUCGCGCAUGGAGCGGGUAUACCUUUUUUUUUUUUCCUCUCCUCUUCUGGGUUAUAUUUUGUCCAAAUGCUGGCUUUUGUUUUUGCUGUUUUUGUUGCAAUGUCCACCAAUUUUGAUAUUGUACAGCUGAAAUAGAAAGCCUGCUACCACUCCCCACCCUGGACAUUUUUUUUCCCCUGUGACUUCUCAUUUGAUAUGACUUGUAAAAAGCAGGGAGAGAACUUUUUGGUGCCGGAUAUUGAAAUAUGUUCACUGUUUUGUCACAUAUAUUUCUAUGCUCAGCGUUGAAAAUGUUGAGUACAUAUGAAUCCAUUGCUUGUCAUGGGCGUAA